rnacentral:RNase_P_RNA from 1 species
GAAGUCCACCAGGCCGCCGCUGGCGCUAUUCGCAAGAACGAUGCUUCGGCAUCGGCCCGAAAGGGCGCGCUGGAGGAAUGUCCGGACUGCAAAGGGCAGCGUAGCAGGUAACACCUGUCCACCGUGAGGUGAGGAUCAGAGCAACAGAGACGAGCCGGUUCAGUCCGGGUGAAACGGGCAAUCUCUACGCGCAGCAAUACCAAAUAGGCACACGUUGAACGGCAACGUUCUGCCCGCGGCCCGCGGGAUGUGUGCGGGUAGGUAGCACCGAGCCGGGGAGCGAUUCCCGGCCCAGAUUAAUGGCGGUCACGCUGGGGGAAACUCCAGUGCACAGAAUCCGGCUUAUCGGUGGGCUUCACAC